ensembl:lncRNA
AUUUUUACCCUUUUCUCUAUAGCGGGGAACAUGGGCUGGCAGGCAGCCAUUCACACAAGGUCGAUCGGCAGUAGCAGGCUGUGAGGAAGACUAUGAGGGGUGGGGCUGGCUGGCCACAUCUGGUUCUCACUAGCAGAUACCCUGACAAGGCCCCUGACUAGGCUUUUCCCUUUCACCAGGGCCCUGGUCGUCCUGGCGGAGGAUGGCGGAGGUGCAAGGUUGACGCUUGUUCAGUAAAUAACUUGAAGAAGAGAGAGAGAAGUGCCAUAGAGAUGGAGACAGCAGUGCUCACUAAGGAGCUCUUCAGCGCCACCCACAGUGCACUGAGCAGCAGAAAGCAAGAGAGGGAAAGGGAAGAGCAUCCUUGUGAGCUAAAG